rnacentral:rRNA from 1 species
AUUGAACGCUGGCGGCAGGCCUAACACAUGCAAGUCGAGCGAGAGGCGGACGGGUGAGUAAUGUGUGGGAAACUGCCCGAUGGAGGGGGAUAACUACUGGAAACGGUAGCUCAUACCCCACAUCCUCAGAUGUGUCCAGAUGGGAUUGGCUAGUGGGUGGGGUAACGGCUCACCUCGGCGCCGAUGCCUAGCUGGUCUGAGAGGAUGACCAGCCACACUGGAACUGAGACACGGUCCAGACUCCUACGGGAGGCAGCAGUGGGGAAUAUUGCACAAUGGGCGCAAGCCUGAUGCAGCCAUGCCGCGUGUGUGAAGAAGGCCUUCGGGUUGUAAAGCACUUUCAGCGGGGAGGCGUUACCCGCAGAAGAAGCACCGGCUAACUCCGUGCCAGCAGCCGCGGUAAUUC